GUCUCUUUGUUUUUAUUUUAUAAAGAGUCUAACCUGCCCAGUGAUAUAUAUUUUAACGGCCGCGGUACUCUGACCGUGCAAAGGUAGCAUAAUCAUUUGCCUUAUAAUUGAAGGCUUGUAUGAAUGGUUUGACGAGAAUUAGCCUGUCUCUUAUAAAUUAAAAUGAAAUUGACUUUUAAGUGUAAAGGCUUAAAUUUUACUAAUAGACAAGAAGACCCUAUUGAGCUUUAAAGAUCUGUAAUAGCAUACGAUGUAUUAAAAUAAGAUUACAAGUUAUUAAAGUUUUUAGUUGGGGCGACUAUUGGAACAAGUGAAACUUCCAGAGUUUUAUAUUUAAUAUUAGUUUAUUUAAAUUGAUCCAAAAUGUUUUGAUUAAUAGAAUAAGUUACCAUAGGGAUAACAGCAUAAUCUAUCUUAAGAGUUCUAAUCGAAAGAAAGGUUUGUGACCUCGAUGUUGGAUUAAAAUAUCCUAAGGGUGUAGAAGUUCUUAAGGGUUGGUCUGUUCGACCAUUAAAAUUUU
rnacentral:rRNA from 1 species